UGCAACUGUGUCAAAUUCAUUGCUCACCUUUUCCGUGGUGAGGAUUGGUCCAAACAGUUGCCAAAGUAAAUAUCUGCAGCUCAUGGGCCUCGCUGGUCUUUGUAAGCUCCGAGGAUAGUUUUGCUGCAGACAGGA